rnacentral:rRNA from 1 species
AACGAACGCUGGCGGCAGGCUUAACACAUGCAGUCGAGCGCCCCGCAAGGGGAGCGGCAGACGGGUGAGUAACGCGUGGGAAUCUACCCAUCUCUACGGAAUAACGCAUGGAAACGUGUGCUAAUACCGUAUACGUCCUUCGGGAGAAAGAUUUAUCGGAGAUGGAUGAGCCCGCGUUGGAUCAGCUAGUUGGUGGGGUAAAGGCCUACCAAGGCGACGAUCCAUAGCUGGUCUGAGAGGAUGAUCAGCCACACUGGGACUGAGACACGGCCCAGACUCCUACGGGAGGCAGCAGUGGGGAAUAUUGGACAAUGGGCGCAAGCCUGAUCCAGCCAUGCCGCGUGAGUGAUGAAGGCCCUAGGGUUGUAAAGCUCUUUCACCGGUGAAGAUAAUGACGAUAACCGGAGAAGAAGCCCCGGCUAACUUCGUGCCAGCCGCCGCAGUAACAC